rnacentral:piRNA from 1 species
UCUACGUCUGAUUGAUGUACCUGAAAGUGA